ACUGGGUGUGGUGGUGUACACCUGUAAUCCCAACAGCUCAGGAGGUUGAGGCAGGAGGAUUGGGAGUUCAAAGCCAGUCUCAGCAACUUAGCAAGACCCUGUCCU
rnacentral:sRNA from 1 species